CCUACCGUAGCUCAACAGUAGAGCGCUCGACCGAUAAUCGAGAGGCCGCGGGUGCGACUCCUGCCGGUAGGACCA
rnacentral:tRNA from 1 species